rnacentral:tRNA from 1 species
GGGUAAUUAGCUCAGAUGGAAGAGCAUCUCGUUUACACCGAGAGGGUCAGCGGUUCGAGUCCGUUAUUACUUA